rnacentral:misc_RNA from 1 species
ACAAAGACGUAGCAUUUUUAGUAACGAUUUCACCGAACGGACGAGGACGGUUAAUUAGGUAGAUACUUUUCGCUGUGUGGUCUCCUUCAGUUAUGUGCUAAUUAAGCGGGAGUUACGUGCUGCAGACAGCAAUACUCGGCUACGUCGCUACGCCUACGACGCCGGGAUUAUCGACGGGGCCCGAUUCUAAUGUCCGGCCAGCGGAACACCUCGCAGCAGCUAUUGUCCGGUACUCUUGCGUCGCCCGGACGGCGACAAAAAUGCGAUCCUUGUCGCACCUCCUCCCAGUGGGGAGGACUUUCGCGACUGAUCGAUCGGUCCCUCGCUCCCUCGGACAGACCCCUCCGCUGUCCAAUCGAUGCCGCUGGAAGCAGAUCGCGCAAAAGGAAAUAAUCAGAAGACCUCUGUGCAGCCAGCUCUCUGAGGGACCUUCUGGUGCAGCCAGCAGCCAUCCCUGGCGGCACCUCCAGCAGGGGACCCCAGCUGCAUCCAGUCAGUAAA